CAGUCGGGCAAAGUGGAAACUCUGGACAUCUAUUAUGGAGGAUGUAGGCGGUUGAUGAUAUCUGUUUGGGGCGGCGCACCAGGAGCCAGGGGUGUGUGGGCUUUUGGGUGAAAUACACACUCAAGUGUGUGUGUGCAGUGACUGUAAGAUUGACAGCUCUGCAAAAACUAACAGAAGAAAAGUUUCCUUCAGCUGCAUGUUGAUGUUCAGCGCUGUAGGUGGAGGACAGAGCCGCCACAUGAUAUCGUCGCAGUUACAGGACGAGGACAGGUGGAGGAGCCACAGGUGUCCAGGUGUGUGCUGAUAUUUUGGGUGAGUUUGGCAGGCAGCAAGACAAUAGGGAAUGUGUCAUUUCUGAAAUAGAAUCUGGUCCGCUGAGAUAAGAGAAGAAAGCAGCAGAAAUGUCUUUAAAGAGACAGUAAAAUGCAGUAUGAAUAUCUGAGUCUGUGACUGCAGUAAAGUCGAGGUAAUAUGACUCACUUGUUGCUGUAAUGCUGUGAGAUAUACAUUCAAAUACAUUCACCAACUUCCUGUUUCACAAACAGUUUAUUACUUUACCUCAGUAUAAAUCUUCUCAGCUCCACUGCCAUCUCCUUACAAAAAAGUACCAUGUCCUAUUUCAUCCCAAUUUCAGAAGAUGAAAAUAUGAAAAUAUAUAUUUACAUAAAGAAAUGUAAGCCUAUUUUUAGACGCAUUCUGACAUUAUUUUCAUAACAAUUAAACAGAUUUUUCUACCAAAUUUGCAUUAUUGUAAUGCAUGAAAAUGUAAUUCUAAUUACUGUAAUACAGUAAUGAAAAUCAACUAGUCUGGAUACAAUGCUUUUUUAUUAU